rnacentral:rRNA from 1 species
UCACUGAUGGAUGGACCCGCGGUGCAUUAGCUAGUUGGUGAGGUAACGGCUCACCAAGGCCACGAUGCAUAGCCGACCUGAGAGGGUGAUCGGCCACACUGGGACUGAGACACGGCCCAGACUCCUACGGGAGGCAGCAGUAGGGAAUCUUCGGCAAUGGACGAAAGUCUGACCGAGCAACGCCGCGUGAGUGAAGAAGGUUUUCGGAUCGUAAAACUCUGUUGUUAGAGAAGAACAAGGAUGAGAGUAGAACGUUCAUCCCUUGACGGUAUCUAACCAGAAAGCCACGGCUAACUACGUGCCAGCAGCCGCGGUAAUACGUAGGUGGCAAGCGUUGUCCGGAUUUAUUGGGCGUAAAGCGAGCGCAGGCGGUUUCUUAAGUCUGAUGUGAAAGCCCCCGGCUCAACCGGGGAGGGUCAUUGGAAACUGGGAGACUUGAGUGCAGAAGAGGAGAGUGGAAUUCCAUGUGUAGCGGUGAAAUGCGUAGAUAUAUGGAGGAACACCAGUGGCGAAGGCGGCUCUCUGGUCUGUAACUGACGCUGAGGCUCGAAAGCGUGGGGAGCGAACAGGAUUAGAUACCCUGGUAGUCCACGCCGUAAACGAUGAGUGCUAAGUGUUGGAGGGUUUCCGCCCUUCA